UAAAGUUAGCAGGACCUACCAAAACGAAAAAGUUGUUCUCCUCUGUCAUGGCAUCCAGGAAAGCUAGAACUCCUUGAUUUCUUGAAGUAAAGAAAAUGGAAAUGGGAUGGUAGUUUUCCAAGUCUCUUUUUUUUCUUCCACAGUUGAUAGUGGACAACAAGAUUCAAAAUCUCAGAGAGUUGACUUCAUGAAGUUGCUUUUGGGGCUGCUGAAAAUCAGAUGAUCAGGUUAUACGAGCUUCUGAGGCAAAAUCUGGUAGAGGUAUGUUUAGUGUUAGACAAGUGCUUCUCUAACAGUGGAAUCCGGUUUGAACCUGUUUUCGUGGCUGAAAAUCAGAUGAUUUGGUUAUAUGAGCUUCCGAGACAAAAAUCUGAUAGAAGCUUUUCAGGGCUAAGAUCAGAUGUGAUGCUGAUAUAUACAUUUUAUCUUUCAAGGCAAAAUCUGGUAGAUGGUAA